CCUACGGGUGGCUGCAGUGGGGAAUAUUGGACAAUGGGCGAAAGCCUGAUCCAGCCAUGCCGCGUGUGUGAAGAAGGCCUUCGGGUUGUAAAGCACUUUCAGUGGGGAAGAAAGCCUUGGGGCUAAUACCCUCGAGGAAGGACAUCACCCACAGAAGAAGCACCGGCUAACUCCGUGCCAGCAGCCGCGGUAAUACGGAGGGUGCGAGCGUUAAUCGGAAUUACUGGGCGUAAAGCGCGCGUAGGCGGUCUGAUAAGCCGGUUGUGAAAGCCCCGGGCUCAACCUGGGAACGGCAUCCGGAACUGUCAGGCUAGAGUGCAGGAGAGGAAGGUAGAAUUCCCGGUGUAGCGGUGAAAUGCGUAGAGAUCGGGAGGAAUACCAGUGGCGAAGGCGGCCUUCCGGACUGACACUGACGCUGAGGUGCGAAAGCGUGGGUAGCAAACAGGAUUAGAUCCCCGAGUAGUC
rnacentral:rRNA from 1 species